ACAAACCCCGCCAAUCAAACUAAUCCCACCACGCGCGCACCGAUCGCAAGCUACGUACUCUCACCGCCGCAGCCGCAGCAGCAAUGGCAGCACUCGCAGCCGCGUCCACGGCCUUCGCGGCGAAGCCGCGCCUGGCGUCGGCGUCGCGGUUCUCCGUGUCGUGCUCCGCGGCGGGGAAGAGCGGCGAGGUGGCGCAGUCGCUGGCGGCGUCGGCCAAGACGUUCUCGGCGGCGCUGGCGCUGUCGUCGGUGCUGCUGUCCUCGGCGGCCACCUCGCCACCGCCUGCGGCCGCCGACAUCGCCGGGCUGACCCCGUGCAAGGAGUCCAAGGCGUUCGCCAAGCGCGAGAAGCAGUCCCUCAAGAAGCUCCAGUCGUCGCUCAAGAAGUACGCGCCCGACUCCGCGCCGGCGCUCGCCAUCAACGCCACCAUCGAGAAGACGAAGCGCCGCUUCGAGAACUACGGCAAGUUCGGCCUGCUCUGCGGCGCCGACGGCCUGCCGCACCUCAUCGUCAGCGGCGACCAGCGGCACUGGGGCGAGUUCAUCACUCCGGGGCUGCUCUUCCUCUACAUCGCCGGCUGGAUCGGCUGGGUUGGCAGGAGCUACCUUAUCGCCAUCAGCGGCGAGAAGAAGCCCGCCAUGAGGGAGAUCAUCAUCGACGUUGAGCUCGCCGUCAGGCUCCUCCCAAGGGGGUUCAUCUGGCCCGUCGCCGCCUACCGUGAGCUCAUCACCGGCAACCUCGUCGUCGACGACGCUGACAUCGGCUACUGAUCAGCCUGCGUCGACGACACCACAUGGAUGCUUCCGUAGUCAGCACCAGGUGAGUUGCUUUGGCAGCGGAGGAAGAGGGCUCAUGGUGAUUUGUGUGGUUUUGGUGUAGAAACUCAUAGGAUCAUGGAGAAAUGGAAGAUCUGUUGUACUUAAGAAACUUAAGUCCUGUAUAACUUGUACCUCUCUCUUGUGUGUAUUUACCAUCCUAAGAUUCUUGAGAACAAUUUCAACCCUGCAUUUCAAUUGCA